UUUGUUUCAAUUUUCUCUCUCUUGUUCUUAUUCUCUCUCCUGUUCUUGUUCAUGUUCAUCAAGAACUCAAUCACAGCCAUAAUUUGCUUGUGCGGCAUCAUCAAGAUUCACAAUGAUUUUUGAGAGUUCAUGUUUUUUUGAAGCUUGUUUGAUUGAGAAUCUUGAUGAUGCUGCAUUAGCAAUAGCUUCAAUGGCUAUAUAUAUAUAUAUAUGUAUAUGUAUAUGUAUAUAUCUUGGGAUCUCAACAAUCUCAUACUCAUAAAGGCAAGAUUUUGACUCCCUGAGAUUCAAUCUAUCGAGCACAAAUAAAAGCCGGUCAAUCUCAAAUAUCUUAUUCUGGAGACCUUUCAGUGUUGUCGAAACAACAAUUUAGACAAAUUCGAGAGAAAAAUUCUAAAUCUCAACUGGGUUGUCUUUUUUUAUCGUUUCAUUUCAUCCCAACUACUGAGUCUCUAAAUUUCAAUGAAUCGGGCGUCUACAAAUGUCGAUCAAUCUCAAAGAUCUUAUCGGCUGACAAAUCGGAGACAGAAGAUCGAACAAGAGCAAGACGGGAUUCAUCGAAAACAAAAGGGUUUUUUGUUUCUCUCUCUCUUGGUUGUUUUUGUGGGUCUAGAGAGAGAGAGCUUGAAUGAGUGAUAUGAAUCUUCUCGUACAAUUUUAGGGUUUGAAUGUUGCAGAUAAUUGAUUGAGGAUAGGCAAUUGGAAGAGAUAGGGCAUGAAAAUGAUAACCCAAAACCAAACGACACACGAAUUCAAGGCUGUUUUGAGUCUUCCGUACUGGUGUUGCUGUCCCACAUCGGAUGUGCCCAACAAAUUGGGUCCUCAAAAAACCCUACAUAUAAAUAUUCUAUCUGUGCCCACUUCAAAAUAACAUAUUUAUUUUCCAUCUUUAAUAAUUUUCUACCAUUUAUGUGUA